CAAGUAGUUGCUUUGAAAAGAUUAUACGAGUAUUUCAUAGUACAUACGUAUUUAUUUUUUCCGGUUAUUGGCGUUCGUUGUGCAUACUUUUUUGGUACCGUUAGAUACUAAAAAUAAAUUUCAAGCAUCCUUUGCUAGCUUCGUCAAAGAGGUUACUAGGUUCCUCGGCGAGGUUGUUCGAGCUUGUUCGGGUCACCUUCCACCGAUUCGUCACAUUCGACACGGAUCUCGAGCUGCGAUGUCCUCCAGCGCAGAGGUGUAAAGGCGCGCUCGAUGUCGAUCGCCAGAGUUCGACGAACGUUUAAAAGCUUGGAACAGCCGGAGGCUCGGACAUGCCGCUCGCCGAAUUUCUCGGCUUGCACACGCAACCACUCUCGACCAGAACGUAAUCUUGACCGGUCAAGGUCACCGGUCCAAGCGGGAUCACCAGGAACAGGAAAGAGAUAUUGAGAAUCGAUGACGAGGAGGGAAAAAAAGGUGUCAAGAUUGAUAAUUCUUUACCACUACGACGUGAUCUACGACACGUAUCGUAAAUAAACGCACGGAAAUACUGGUCCAAAACGUUUUCAAAAAGUAGGCUUUGUCCCGGUCAGAGUUGUCCGGCCCACUGUGCCAGAUUCGAAUUAAUGUACUUACCAGUAGGUCUCGACGAAUUUCAAUUGGAAACACGUCGCAUAUAUUCACAGAUCACGAUCGAACGUGCUACGAAAGUAAUGAAUCGAACCUCGUUUUUUAAUUUGCAAGCAAUUGAAUGGUUGAGCGAAUUUUAAAAGAUCAUGC